AUGGGGGAGAGAGUUCAGAGACACAGGAGAGAGAGUUCAGAGACACAGGGGAGAGAGUUCAGAGAGUUCAGAGACACAGGGGAGAGAGUUCAGAGACACAGGGGAGAGAGUUCAGAGAGUUCAGAGACACAGGGGAGAGAGUUCAGAGACACAGGGGAGAGAGUUCAGAGACACAGGGGAGAGAGUUCAGAGACAGAAGAGAGAGUUCAGAGACACAGGAGAGAGAGUUCAGAGACACAGGAGAGAGAGUUCAGAGACACAGGGAGAGAGUUCAGAGUGUUCAGAGACACAGGGGAGAGAGUUCAGAGACACAGGGGAGAGAGUUCAGAGACACAGGGGAGAGAGUUCAGAGACAGGAGAGAGAGUUCAGAGACACAGGAGAGAGAGUUCAGAGACACAGGGGAGAGAGUUCAGAAAGGCAGAGACACAGGGGAGAGAGGCAGAGACACAGGGGAGAGAGUUCAGAGAGUUCAGAGACACAGGGGAGAGAGUUCAGAGACACAGGGUAGAGAGUUCAGAGACACAGGGGAGAGAGUUCAGAGAGGGGGAGACACAGGGGAGAGAGUUCAGAGACACAGGGGAGAGAGUUCAGAGACACAGGGGAGAGAGUUCAGAGACACAGGGGAGAGAGUUCAGAGACACAGGGGAGAGAGUUCAGAGACACAGGGAGAGAGUUCAGAGACAGGAGAGAGAGUUCAGAGACACAGGAGAGAGAGUUCAGAGACACAGGAGAGAGAGUUCAGAGACACAGGGGAGAGAGUUCAGAGACACAGGGGAGAGAGUUCAGAGACACAGGGGAGAGAGUUCAGAGACACAGGGGAGAGAGUUCAGAGAGGGGGAGACACAGGGGAGAGAGUUCAGAGAGGCAGAGACACAGGGGAGAGAGUUCAGAGACACAGGGGAGAGAGUUCAGAGACACAGGGGAGAGAGGCAGAGACACAGGGGAGAGAGUUCAGAGACACAGGGGAGAGAGGCAGAGACACCGGGGAGAGAGUUCAGAGACACAGGGGAGAGAGGCAGAGACACAGGGGAGAGAGUUCAGAGACACAGGGGAGAGAGUUCAGAGACACAGGGGAGAGAGUUCAGAGACACAGGGGAGAGAGGCAGAGACACAGGGGGGAGAGGCAGAGACACAGGGGAGAGAGUUCAGAGACACAGGGGAGAGAGUUCAGAGACACAGGGGAGAGAGUUCAGAGAGUUCAGAGACACAGGGGAGAGAGUUCAGAGUCACAGGGGAGAGAGUUCAGAGACAGGAGAGAGAGUUCAGAGACACAGGAGAGAGAGUUCAGAGACACAGGGGAGAGAGUUCAGAAAGGCAGAGACACAGGGGAGAGAGGCAGAGAAACAGGGGAGAGAGUUCAGAGAGUUCAGAGACACAGGGGAGAGAGUUCAGAGACACAGGGUAGAGAGUUCAGAGACACAGGGGAGAGAGGCAGAGACACAGGGGAGAGAGUUCAGAGAGGCAGAGACACAGGGGAGAGAGUUCAGAGACACAGGGGAGAGAGUUCAGAGACACAGGGGAGAGAGGCAGAGACACAGGGGAGAGAGGCAGAGACACAGGGGAGAGAGUUCAGAGACACAGGGGAGAGAGGCAGAGACACAGGGGAGAGAGUUCAGAGACACAGGGGAGAGAGGCAGAGACACAGGGGAGAGAGUUCAGAGACACAGGGGAGAGAGGCAGAGACACAGGGGAGAGAGUUCAGAGACACAGGGGAGAGAGGCAGAGACACAGGGGAGAGAGUUCAGAGACACAGGGGAGAGAGGCAGAGACACAGGGGAGAGAGUUCAGAGACACAGGGGAGAGAGUUCAGAGAAACAGGGGAGCGAGUUCAGAGACACAGGGGAGAGAGUUCAGAGACACAGGGGAAAGAGUUCAGAGACACAGGGGAGAGAGUUCAGAGACACAGGGGAGAGGGGCAGAGACACAGGGGGGAGAGGCAGAGACACAGGGGAGAGAGUUCAGAGACACAGGGGAGAGAGUUCAGAGACACAGGGGAGAGAGUUCAGAGACACAGGGGGAAGAGCGAGAGGGACAGAGAGAAAGAGCGAGAGAAGGACAACAAAGAAAGAGAGAGGGGCGACAGAGGGAUGACACAGAGAAAGGGAGAGGAAAAGAGAGCGAGAGAUACGACACAGAAAUAUAGCACAAUUAGACCCAACCAAAUCAUGAGAAAACCAAAAGAUAAUUACUUGCUUGACACAUUGGAAAUAAUUAACAAAAAAAAUAGAGCAAACUGGAAUGGUAUGUGGUCCUAA
ensembl:lncRNA